GGGCUUAGGAUGAAAAUUUUAAUUAUCUUAGCGGAUUUCUGUGAGAUUAUUCUUAAUCAGUGAUCUCAUUGUUACACACACUGAAGCCC